AGAUUGAACGCUGGCGGCAUGCCUAACACAUGCAAGUCGAACGGGAGUAGCAAUACUCUAGUGGCGGACGGGUGAGGAAUACGUAGGAAUUUGCCCUUAAGUGGGGGAUAACCCGGGGAAACCCGGAUUAAUACCGCAUGACCUCGAAAGAGCAAAGUGGGGGAUCGCAAGACCUCACGCUUUUGGAGAAGCCUACGUCGGAUUAGCUAGUUGGUGAGGUAAUGGCUCACCAAGGCGACGAUCCGUAACUGGUCUGAGAGGAUGAUCAGUCACACCGGAACUGAGACACGGUCCGGACUCCUACGGGAGCAGCAGUGGGAAUAUUGGACAAUGGGCGCAAGCCUGAUCCAGCAAUGCCGCGUGUGUGAAGAAGGCCUUCGGUUGUAAAGGACAACUUUUAAAGGUUAGGGUAAAGAAAAAAACGUACGACGUACUAACAACAGUGAGUCUUGACGGUACCGACAAGAAUAAGACACCGGCUAACUCUAGU
rnacentral:rRNA from 1 species